rnacentral:rRNA from 2 species
GCUUGCUGGGCAUGAAAGUGGCGCACGGGUGCGUAACGCGUAUGCAACCUACCUUUAUCAGGGGGAUAGCCCGGAGAAAUCCGGAUUAAUACCGCAUAAAAUCACAGCACUGCAUAGUGCAAUGAUCAAACAUUUAUGGGAUAAAGAUGGGCAUGCGUGUCAUUAGCUAGUUGGCGGGGUAACGGCCCACCAAGGCGACGAUGACUAGGGGAUCUGAGAGGAUGGCCCCCCACACUGGUACUGAGACACGGACCAGACUCCUACGGGAGGCAGCAGUAAGGAAUAUUGGUCAAUGGAGGCAACUCUGAACCAGCCAUGCCGCGUGCAGGAAGACUGCCCUAUGGGUUGUAAACUGCUUUUAUCCGGGAAUAAACCUUUCUACGUGUAGGAAGCUGAAUGUACCGGAAGAAUAAGGAUCGGCUAACUCCGUGCCAGCAGCCGCGGUAAUACGGAGGAUCCAAGCGUUAUCCGGAUUUAUUGGGUUUAAAGGGUGCGUAGGCGGCCUGUUAAGUCAGGGGUGAAAGACGGUAGCUCAACUAUCGCAGUGCCCUUGAUACUGAUGGGCUUGAAUGGACUAGAGGUAGGCGGAAUGAGACAAGUAGCGGUGAAAUGCAUAGAUAUGUCUCAGAACACCGAUUG